UCCAUUAAAAUUAUUAUAUAGUUAUAAAUAUAUAAUAUUUUAUAAACUAAUCAUUUAAUAAUAAUGAAUUUUAAUACAAUAUUUAUUUAUAUUCAUUUUAUAAAAUGAAACAAUGUUAAAUAAAUGUACAUUAAAUUAUUACUUUUUAAAUAUAAUUUUUUUUUUUUUUUCAUUUUGUUUUUGGGGUGAAAUAUGAAAUGGGUAUUUCAGUUUUCGUGAGACUUACAUCUAUAUUAAUUAUUAUUAAAAUUAUAUAAUUUCUUUGUCACGCCACUAAUCCUUGAUAGGCGUAUACUUAAGUCUUCAUAAUUUGUUUUUGUUCUCUGCAGUGGGUCACAUUCCAUCAAAUGAAUCAGACUCUGGUUUCAUAAAUUGGGCUGUAAUUGUCUUAACCUACUGCAUAUUAUUAGAAUGCGGCAUAAAACUCCAAGCAGCAUUAUGCAAUGACCGUGUGUCUCGGUUACCUCAUUUUUUAUGACUAGUAGGAUAAUACACGCUUAGUCCACUUAUGUCAUGUCUUCUUUUAUGUAAGCAAAUGGUAGCCAUCCAUCCCACACUAAUGUCCAGGUGUGUUAUGGGAAGGCCCUGCUAAUCCCAAAAAGUGCCAACAAAGCAGUGCCCUAGAGAACAGAACGCUUUGUGUGUGUGUGUGUGUGUGUGUGUGUGUGUGUGUCUCUCCUUGUCUAUAAUCCUCUCCAGGUGCUCUCGACCAUUCUCAACUCUUCUAAUCACUCAGCUUGUCUUCGGCUGAGGGGGUGGGUACCUGCCAACUGCUGUUUUUGUUUUAGAUUAGCCGCUUCCCUAAGUCCCGACCCUCGGCCGGAUGUCCCAAACCCAUCUGUCACCAAGCCCUCUCCCAGAACGGAGGCUGAGAGGAUAGAGAGGAGGAGGACAAGAAAAGAGGAUGAGCUAGUGAAAGAAGCUAGGAAGUAAUUGCAUCUGGUGUAAACCCUCUCAGCGCUAGAGUCAGUUUUUGCUGUUGCAGGGACUGCAUGCUAAUGUCCUGCUAGCUGUUCACCAUGUUAUGAUUUGGUUAAUUGAUAAAGCAAAGCCAAAUGAUUGCAUUCAUAUAGUGGUAAAUGUCAGAAAUGAUUUGUAAAAAAGUGUUUGCGAAGUAUACAGCCCAUAGAUAUCAAGAUGAUGCUAAUUGCUAAGUCCAUUAGCAUCAACUUGAUGUGGAUUUCACAGGGUAUUCCUCCAUCUUAAAUCCGAAGGGAGCAAACAUGUUCUUUGUUUGACUUUGCAGGAUGUUCCUGCAUUUUGUCAAGUGAAGUGAACUUCAACAGAGAUCCGUGCUCAGGGAGAGACCCUGUCAAUUGAAAUGCAACUAAUGUUUAUAUGUUCAGUUAGCAUCAAAAUUUCAUUGUUAUCUUAGCCCAAUUGAGUAACUUCGUUUAGCUACAUUAGUGACUUUGUUUAGUGACGUUUUUCAGUAGUUCAACAGCUAAUGUUUUUGUCAACCUCAUUGUUGUUAUUAAAUGUUAAAUUAUAUUGUACGAUUGUUACACAUUUAAGAAGAUAUUUUCCCCAUAGCUAGUUUGCUAGCUAGCUAUUUUUUGUCAAUAAUUUGUAGUGUAGCUAUACUUUUUCACUCAAAUAGCUUCACUAAAACUACUUACAAUCAUGAUUAGCUUGUAGUUUGACAAGCUACAAAUUCAUAUUAGCAUCCAGCAUUGUUGUUGACAUACAUAUUGUACUAACCCACUAGAAAAAUCUUUGAAGUGGGAGACUUAGACUCUCAGUUGUGUGCUUUUCUUAUAGACAGUUAGGCUUUCACUAGCAUAUUUGCCUACAAUAAUCUUUUGUGGAAGUGGUUGUCACAUUUGGUCAGGUGCCUGUGUUUCCGCCAAAGGUAGUUUUGUGUUAAGCAGGUUAAGAAGUAUUUCCUAAUCUUUUAAGUUGCUGUUGCGCACGAGACCAUGCUGGCAGCCCGCCUGGAUGAUGGGAUUGACAGCGUUUUGUACGCAAACCUUCAUCCAGCAAGCUGGCAGGAGUACGUCACGCUGGCGUGGGCAGUAUGCUGUCUGUCUCAGAUCUGUCUCGCCACUGCGAUCUCACAGUCAGAUUAACUGGAAGGAUGUUUAUUUCUGUUUAUAUGGUUGUGAAAAUGAGACGGUGGAAAUGAUUCGGUUGCAUCUGCUCUUUUCCUCUUGUUAAACCUACAUCUGCCAGACCAUGACAACUUUAACACACUCACAUGCUGACAGUGAUUCUGACGAGCAGCACGGACAUCCGCAGCUGGUGGGGGCUCACCCGACCUCAGACUCUGUAAUUAUCGCAGCUUCUGUUUUCCUUCAAGUGUGCUGACUGUUUGCUAGCAUCCAGAAGCUCUCGAAUGAACGCUGUACAGCUAGGCUUUACAAAUCUAGCAGAUGGAUUAUAGUUCAGAAGGCCCCUCAAUUUUCGCAAAUGUCCAAAUAAUGAGAAAUUGCAUUGCAAAUAUGAGUGAAAUAGUCACAGCUGUGAGAUAUAAUUAAAUUAUUUGCACUACAGGCAAAAACAUUGUUUUUUCAUGCACUGAAUAUCUUCUGCUGAACACAAAAGAAGAUAUUUUGAAGCCAUUGACUUCUCUGUAGUAUUUAUUUUUUCAUACUACUUGAGGGUGAGACAGGAUUUUCAUUUUUGAGUGAAUUAUCCCUUUAAUGUAAUCAAUCAACCUUGGACGUUUGGUGAUAUUUGUUUCUAAAUCUUUUUACCCUA